UACAGAGGUCCCAAGCGUUACUGAGAAUCACUGGGUUUAAAGGGUGCGUAGGUGGUCCGUUAAGUCAGUUGUGAAAUCCCCGGGCUCAACCCGGGGAACUGCUUCUGAUACUGGCGACUUGAGGCCAGUAGGGGUCACUAGAACUGACGGUGGAGCGGUGGAAAUGCGUAGAUAUCGUCAGGAAUGCCGGUGGUGAAGACGG
rnacentral:rRNA from 1 species